rnacentral:rRNA from 1 species
UACGUAGGGGGCAAGCGUUGUCCGGAUUUACUGGGCGUAAAGAGCGCGCAGGCGGUCGUUCAAGUCGCGUGUGAAAGCCCCCGGCUCAACUGGGGAGGGUCACGCGAUACUGUUCGACUCGAAGGCAGGAGAGGGAAGCGGAAUUCCCGGUGUAGUGGUGAAAUGCGUAGAUAUCGGGAGGAACACCAGUGGCGAAGGCGGCUUCCUGGCCUGUUCUUGACGCUGAGGCGCGAAAGCUAGGGUAGCAAACGGG